ensembl:lncRNA
AGAAUAUGUACUCCACCAAAAAAAUAGUAAGUAAUUCCAUCCAUCCAUCUUCAAACCACUUAUGGUGCACACAGGGUCGUUGGGGGCUGCAAUCAAUCCCAGCCAAUUUUGGGCGAGAGACAGGGUACACCCUGGAUUGGUUGCCAGCCAAUUGCAGGGCUACACAGAGACCAACUAACAUUCAAACUCACAUCCACACACCUACGGGCAAUUUAGAGCCACCAAUUAACCUGAUCCCCAGAGCAUGUCUUUAGACUGUGGGAGGAAGCCAGAGGACCCGGAGAGAACCCACGCCGACAGGGGGAGAAUAUGCAGACUGCACAGAGAAAGGCCACAGGGAGAAGUCGAACUCAGGACAUUCUUGCUGUGAGGCGACAGUGCUAACCAUGACCCCACUGUGCAGCCCGUAUGGCAUUCCAAUAUAUUUAAAGGCUUUGCUUCGAAUUCAGCAUUCUGCAAAUGUGCUUCUUCCCCUUUCUGAGAGACAUCAAUUUCAGAUUGCAAAUUUACAUUUACACGCACGUGGCUUCAGCAGACGUCUCUAUUGGACAUAAUAAAUGUUUACACUCUUUACAUUGAUGUUUUUACCAAGGAUAUCUCAAAUAAUCUAAAUGGUGAUACUGCAAGACAAGUUCAUCUUUGUUGGGAUGAGGUCAGCCUGUGAGAUUAUAACUCAAUGAUUUGAAUAAUAAAUAAUCUUUUUCAAUGUGUAGCCAGUGAGAAAAUGUCCUUCCUGAGCUACUGUAGGUUCAGGCAGGCCUUGGUACCUCCUACUUCCUGGUUCACCCAUUAGAAAGGGUAUAAAGCUGCCCAUAAUGAAGCUGCUUUUGGCAUGCUUGUCCCUUUCUGUGUUGGAGAGUGGCUGGAGAAGCCAGUGAGCUGGUAGGUGUUUUCAUUCUCAGUUCUUAUUAAAAUGGUUUGGCCAUUGGUGAUCUUUCUGUUUGUGUCUCCCAGCUCGUCAGGGAGGCCCAAACCAUGUGUGAGCCAUACCAGGUGGAGGAGCCUCAAAGUAACUCCAGGCUGGCAUUAGAAGCCAUUGCUGUUUUGUGUUGCUUGUUCAGUUCUGGUCUGGAGUUUCUUCAUGUUUGUAAUAUUAGUUAGUUUGCAGAUUACUUUUGACUGCUAUGGCUGGUUCUACACCUGCAGAAUCAAGAUGACCAAUGGAAAAACUAAAACUUCCAAUGUUCGGAAGUUAGGGUUGGUUCAAAAUGCGUUUGGCAAGAAACCUGGUGGAGACCGUGGUGCCAUGAAAGCAAACAAAAGGACGGUCCAGAGAGUUGGUCGAGCAGUUUCAGCCUCCUCUGACGGUGGAAAUUACCAGCACUCUUUAGUGAUUUGAGAGAACGGAUGAUCCAGAGAAGACAACAGGGUCCUGCCUUCGGCUCCCUAGGAGCGGCCAAGCAACUUCAGCCUCCUGUGAAAAUUGAGAGGUAAGACCCUUUCUCAGUACUGCUUUUCAUGUCCUGCUGUGAAAGUCUAAUAAAAUGUUAGAAUGCCAGACGGUUGGUUGGUUAACUGCAUCUGCUGCUAAUAUAUACUGAACUAAUUCAGUUUUUAUCUGCGCUUUCCCAGUGUGUAAAAAGAUGCAUUCUUGUCAGUGUUUAAAUAUUUCUUGUUUGCUGAAGUACUGUUGUGCUACCACACAGGACGAUUCAGAGAACACUACAGGCUCCUGCUUCAGAGGCAUGCAGCUUUAGCCUCCUGUGGAAAUUGCCUUAUGCUCCUGCAAAAUUAGCGAUUUGACUAACUGGAUGAUAGAAUCCAACUCUCUACAGGCUUUGGCAAAAGGUAAGACCCUAAGUGUGGG